rnacentral:lncRNA from 1 species
UUCCACAUGUUUGGUAUAUGAUAUAUUAAAAACUGGAUAAAAUUUUAAUUUUAAUAUUAUCUAUACGCAUAAAAAAAUGGCACAAAUCCUAAUCUUUCUCCUCCUUAUCCAAUUUGUAUUCUUCAAGCUUUUAUAAGGAACAUUAUCAGAUUAUUUUUUCUCAUCAUGCACGAAAUGUGCUGGUUUAUACUACAAAUACCAUUUUAGUUAAAGGAUGGUGCAUCCACUAAAAUAAAAUAAAAAAUCUUUGGAUAUUAUUCUAUGUAGUCAGAAUCUUACAGAGGAAAAUACUAUAGACAAAUGCUCGAAAUGCUUGUGUGUGUAUACACAUUCACUCAGUAUCUCUUUUUCUCAAAUAUUCAUUGUUUAAGAGAGACGUAUACGGUGAAAAUAACUGCAAUAAUUGGAGAAAAAUGCCCCAAAAUACAAUAAAAACUAAAGUCAACUAGAUUAUAAGUUUUCCUUCGUGUGUGUCUACAAGACUAUCUCGUCUAAAAGUUUAACAUAUCAAAUAGAGGAUAACAUUGUUUACUUAAAUUAUGUUUUCAGCACACCUCUUGCUGGUGAUGCAUGACAAUGAAAAGAAAAACAUUUUGGCUAUCCACACGUAAUCGAUCAUUGGAUCAACACUCAUGGCCACCACGUACGUCGGCCGUCAUGAGUAGUACUUACAGUAUCAAGAAGCCACUCAAUGAUGCCGUCAUUGAGAAUUCAAUGUGGCGCUAAAAUACAUCAUUCUCCUCCUCAUUUUCCUCUUUUCAUUCCUACAUCACUCCUUAUCGGUUCAUCGGCCAGGUGAAUUUCCUCACAAACUGCCCUCAGGAGGAGACAAAAAGUUAAAUUUAUAACUCAAUGAAGAAGAAAAAUGUUUAGAAAAAUAUGAAACAAAAAUAAGGAUAAACAUGAGACUUUUAAU